UACGUAGGGUGCGAGCGUUGUCCGGAAUUAUUGGGCGUAAAGGGCUCGUAGGCGGCCAACUAAGUCGGACGUGAAAUCCCUCAGCUUAACUGGGGAACUGCGUCCGAUACUGGAUGGCUUGGAUUUGGGAGAGGGAUGCGGAAUUCCAGGUGUAGCGGUGAAAUGCGUAGAUAUCUGGAGGAACACCGGUGGCGAAGGCGGCAUCCUGGACCAAUAUUGACGCUGAGGAGCGAAAGCCAGGGGAGCAAAGCGGG
rnacentral:rRNA from 1 species